CAGGUAGCCUUCCUCGCGGACUUCGGGCCGCACGGCGCGACGGCAGCGCGACGCCGAGAGUCGUUCGGUCGAGUAUUUUUGGGCAAAUGGAGGUCGUAGACCCCGUGCCCCCGACAUAUUCCGCAUCCCCGGGGUCGGGCCAGCGAUCGAGGGCCGCAGCGGCACAGCAGUGAGCGCGCACGCUGCAGAACACGAAAGCACCCUUCGGGUUCACCCGGAGCCGCACCGCGGGAACGGGCAGCGCCGAGGCGAACGGUACGAUUUUAGUCACACGAAUUCCGUCUCAACGGGUACGCAACACAGGAAACCGGACGCUAGGACGAGGCCGGCGUGGCUCUCGAACCGACAACUGAAGAGGAAGGCACGGUCAGACGUCGCUGCA
rnacentral:misc_RNA from 1 species